rnacentral:rRNA from 1 species
CUCCUACGGAGGCAGCAGUGGGGAAUAUUGCGCAAUGGGCGAAAGCCUGACGCAGCGACGCCGCGUGGGGGAUGGAAGGCCUUCGGGUUGUAAACCCCUUUCAGCAGGACGAAGCGCAAGUGACGGUACCUGCAGAGGAAGCGCCGGCUAACUACGUGCCAGCAGCCGCGGUAAUAC